rnacentral:rRNA from 1 species
CGUACGAUUAAAGCUCUCUUCGGAGAGUGUAUAGAGUGGCGCACGGGUGAGUAACACGUAAGUAAUCUACCUUCGAGUGGGGAAUAACAGUCGGAAACGACUGCUAAUACCGCAUAAUGCAGCGGCACCUAAUGGUGACAGUUGUUAAAGCAUUUAUGUGCUUGAAGAGGAGCUUGCGGCAGAUUAGCUAGUUAGUAAGGUAAUGGCUUACCAAGGCAACGAUCUGUAGCCGACCUGAGAGGGUGGUCGGUCACACUGACACUGAAUAACGGGUCAGACUCCUACGGGAGGCAGCAGUCGGGAAUUUUGGGCAAUGGGCGAAAGCCUGACCCAGCAACGCCGCGUGAAGGAUGAAGUAUUUCGGUAUGUAAACUUCGUAAGAAUGGGAAGAAUAAAUGACGGUACCAUUUGUAAGGUCCGGCUAACUACGUGCCAGCAGCCGCGGUAAUACGUAGGGACCAAGCGUUGUUCGGAUUUACUGGGCGUAAAGGGUGCGUAGGCGGCGCGUCAAGUCAGUUGUGAAAUCUUAAGGCUUAACCUUAAACGGUCAACUGAUACUGUCGUGCUAGAGUGCAGAAAGGGCAAUCGGAAUUCUUGGUGUAGCGGUGAAAUGCGUAGAUAUCAAGAGGAACACCUGAGGCGAAGGCGGGUUGCUUGGCUGACACUGACGCUGAGGCACGAAAGCUAGGGUAGCAAACGGGAUUAGAUACCCCGGUAGUCCUAGCCCUAAACGAUGAAUGCUUGGUGUCU